rnacentral:rRNA from 1 species
AUUGAACGCUGGCGGCAUGCCUUACACAUGCAAGUCGAACGGUAACAGGUCUUCGGAUGCUGACGAGUGGCGAACGGGUGAGUAAUACAUCGGAACGUGCCUAGUAGUGGGGGAUAACUACUCGAAAGAGUGGCUAAUACCGCAUGAGAUCUACGGAUGAAAGCAGGGGAUCGCAAGACCUUGUGCCACUAGAGCGGCCGAUGGCAGAUUAGGGAGUUGGUGGGAUAAAAGCUUACCAAGCCGACGAUCUGUAGCUGGUCUGAGAGGACGAUCAGCCACACUGGGACUGAGACACGGCCCAGACUCCUACGGGAGGCAGCAGUGGGGAAUUUUGGACAAUGGGCGAAAGCCUGAUCCAGCAAUGCCGCGUGAAGGAUGAAGGCCUUCGGGUUGUAAACUGCUUUUGUACGGAACGAAAAGCCCUGGGUUAAUACCCUGGGGUCAUGACGGUACCGUAAGAAUAAGCACCGGCUAACUACGUGCCAGCCGCCGCAGUAAUAC